UAAAUUUUGGUGAAAGCUGUUCUGUCACCUUCAGAGAAAAAUUAUAACAUAUAAAAAUCUUUUUGAGUGUAUAGAGAUAAAUAUUUUUGUUUGGUUUUGUUCUUCCCUUUUCUUCUUCCCACCUUUAACCUUCAUUUUGCUGUUUGAAAUGAGUGGAAUUCUGAAUUCUUCUAGGAGUAGGGUGAUAACAGCAUAAGUCUGUGCAGUGUUGAGAGAGCGUGUGGAGAAAAUUGGUAGUGAAGAGAGGGAUUUUUCAUUUGGGUUGUCAUUAUUUAACUUUUUUCAUAGCCUCUUCCCUUUCUAAACCAUGGCUGCUAGAACUUUGGAAGUUGCUGUGAGACUCUGUCAGCAUUGAUUCCCUGCUUUGCACCCAGUUGAGAGUUUUUCUUCAAGACUCCAAGGAACUUAAAGAAAAGCAGAGAUAAGAAAAGAAAUAAAAUUUCAGCACACUUGAUUAACAGCAACAUAUCAAAGAAGCAGUGACAUAACUGGCUGUAUGCCAAUAGUUGGUUCAUGCACAGUUCACUUUAUUGGCGAUCAGAUCCACCUUUGCUAUUUCUGAUCACGAUGCUUAUGUGCUAUCCAGAAUUCUCUGCAUUACAGUCCCUGAAGAAAUGAAACAGCAGAACAGCAACAAUGACAGAAAUGGGAGAUAAGGGCAGCCUGACACUGCAAUCUUGUUAAGCUCCACAGAAGAGGCAUAAUUUCCUACCUACCAGCUUCUGCUAUCCGUGUACCAGACUUCUGUAUCAGUAUGGCCCUAUUUAAUCCUUUUUCCUUAAGGGUUGUUUUUUUGUUUUGUCUUUUUUUUUUUUUUUUUUCCUGCUUACACUGGGUUUUCCAACAUAGUAAAGCUGUAGUGUGUUCCCGUCA